AUGAGGCAGGGGAGGCUAUAUACAGGGUAUUACGGUACAGAGUCAAUGUGGAGACUAUAUACAGGGGGUACCGGUACAGAGUCAAUGUGGAGGCUAUAUACAGGGGGUACCGGUACAGAGUCAAUGUGGAGGUUAUAUACAGGGGGUACCGGUACAGAGUCAAUGUGGAGGCUAUAUACAGGGGGUACCGGUACAGAGUCAAUGUGGAGGCUAUAUACAGGGGGUACUGGUACAGAGUCAAUGUGGAGGCUAUAUACAGGGGGUACUGGUACAGAGUCAAUGUGGAGGCUAUAUACAGGGGGUACCGGUACAGAGUCAAUGUGGAGGCUAUAUACAGGGGGUACCGGUACAGAGUCAAUGUGGAGGCUAUAUACAGGGGGUACCGGUACAGGGUCAAUGUGGAGGCUAUAUACAGGGGGUACCGGUACAGGGUCAAUGUGGAGGCUAUAUACAGGGGGUACCGGUACAGAGUCAAUGUGGAGGCUAUAUACAGGGGGUACCGGUACAGAGUCAAUGUGGAGGCUAUAUACAGGGGGUACCGGUACAGAGUCAAUGUGGAGGCUAUAUACAGGGGGUACCGGUACAGAGUCAAUGUGGAGGCUAUAUACAGGGUAUUACGGUACAGAGUCAAUGUGGAGGCUAUAUACAGGGGGUACUGGUACAGAGUCAAUGUGGAGGCUAUAUACAGGGGCUACUGGUACAGAGUCAAUGUGGAGGCUAUAUACAGGGGAUACCGGUACAGAGUCAAUGUGGAGGCUAUAUACAGGGGGUACCGGUACAGAGUCAAUGUGGAGGCUAUAUACAGGGUAUUACGGUACAGAGUCAAUGUGGAGGCUAUAUACAGGGGGUACCAGUACAGAGUCAAUGUGGAGGCUAUAUACAGGGGGUACCAGUACAGAGUCAAUGUGGAGGCUAUAUACAGGGUAUUACGGUACAGAGUCAAUGUGGAGGCUAUAUACAGGGGGUACUGGUACAGAGUCAAUGUGGAGGCUAUAUACAGGGGCUACUGGUACAGAGUCAAUGUGGAGGCUAUAUACAGGGGGUACCGGUACAGAGUCAAUGUGGAGACUAUAUACAGGGGGUACCAGUACAGAGUCAAUGUGGAGGCUAUAUACAGGGUGUACCGGUACAGAGUCAAUGUGGAGGCUAUAUACAGGGUAUUACGGUACAGAGUCAAUGUGGAGGCUAUAUACAGGGUAUUACGGUACAGAGUCAAUGUGGAGGCUAUAUACAGGGGGUACUGGUACAGAGUCAAUGUGGAGGCUAUAUACAGGGGCUACUGGUACAGAGUCAAUGUGGAGGCUAUAUACAGGGGAUACCGGUACAGAGUCAAUGUGGAGACUAUAUACAGGGGGUACCAGUACAGAGUCAAUGUGGAGGCUAUAUACAGGGGGUACCGGUACAGAGUCAAUGUGGAGGCUAUAUACAGGGUAUUACGGUACAGAGUCAAUGUGGAGGCUAUAUACAGGGGGUACCGGUACAGAGUCAAUGUGGAGGCUAUAUACAGGGUAUUACGGUACAGAGUCAAUGUGGAGGCUAUAUACAGGGUAUUACGGUACAGAGUCAAUGUGGAGGCUAUAUACAGGGGGUACCGGUACAGAGUCAAUGUGGAGGCUAUAUACAGGGUAUUACGGUACAGAGUCAAUGUGGAGGCUAUAUACAGGGUAUUACGGUACAGAGUCAAUGUGGAGGCUAUAUACAGGGUAUUACGGUACAGAGUCAAUGUGGAGGCUAUAUACAGGGGGUACCGGUACAGAGUCAAUGUGGAGGCUAUAUACAGGGGGUACCGGUACAGAGUCAAUGUGGAGGCUAUAUAAAGGGGGGUACCGGUACAGAGUCAAUGUGGAGCUAUAUACAGGGGGUACCGGUACAGAGUCAAUGUGGAGGCUAUAUACAGGGGGUACCGGUACAGAGUCAAUGUGGAGCUAUAUACAGGGGGUACCGGUACAGAGUCAAUGUGGAGGCUAUAUACAGGGGGUACCGGUACAGAGUCAAUGUGGAGGCUAUAUACAGGGGGUACCGGUACAGAGUCAAUGUGGAGCUAUAUACAGGGGGUACCGGUACAGAGUCAAUGUGGAGGCUAUAUACAGGGGGUACCGGUACAGAGUCAAUGUGGAGCUAUAUACAGGGGGUACCGGUACAGAGUCAAUGUGGAGGCUAUAUACAGGGGGUACCGGUACAGAGUCAAUGUGGAGGCUAUAUACAGGGGGUACCGGUACAGAGUCAAUGUGGAGGCUAUAUACAGGGGGUACCGGUAGAGAGUCAAUGUGGAGCUAUAUACAGGGGGUACCGGUACAGAGUCAAUGUGGAGGCUAUAUACAGGGGGUACCGGUACAGAGUCAAUGUGGAGGCUAUAUACAGGGGGUACCGGUACAGAGUCAAUGUGGAGGCUAUAUACAGGGUAUUAUGGUACAGAGUCAAUGUGGAGGCUAUAUACAGGGGGUACCGGUACAGAGUCAAUGUGGAGGCUAUAUACAGGGGGUACCGGUACAGAGUCAAUGUGGAGGCUAUAUACAGGGUAUUAUGGUACAGAGUCAAUGUGGAGGCUAUAUACAGGGGGUACCGGUACAGAGUCAAUGUGGAGGCUAUAUACAGGGGUACCGGUACAGAGUCAAUGUGGAGGCUAUAUACAGGGGGUACUGGUACAGAGUCAAUGUGGAGGCUAUAUACAGGGGGUACCGGUACAGAGUCAAUGGGGAGGCUAUAUACAGGGGGUACCGGUACAGAGUCAAUGUGGAGGCUAUAUACAGGGGGUACCGGUACAGAGUCAAUGUGGAGGCUAUAUACAGGGGGUACCGGUAG
ensembl:lncRNA